ensembl:lncRNA
GCUGAUCCCAGCCUGGACUCUGAGCCCCGGGAGAUGUCUGGGCCGUGGCCCGUAGCUGGGGUCUUGGCCUCUGCCCGGGGUGGGGGAGUUCAGGGAAGCCACCCCCUCAGAGCGUCCCACUGGGCUGUCAGGAAGGAAGCGUGUUGUCAGGACAGCAAAGCCAGAAGGGCGCUCAGCGGGGUUAGGGGGUUGGGGGGGGUCUCCCCAGCUGUGCGGACUCAGCGCAAGUUCAUCCAGGGUGCCUCUCGUGAGGGAGGGAGCCAGCGUCGCGUUGCGGGAUCAGCUGAAAUGCUUUCUUCCUGGGCACCACUAGCCAAGAGGAGGCUGAGGCCCUGCCACGGGGCCGCGCACUGGCGUUUUCCCACGGUCUGCAUGGCAUAACGUGACAGGUGUGCGACAUCCAAGGCCGCCCUCGGCAGCUCUGGGCUCUCUGGGCUCGCCCGGUCCGCCUCACUGUCCGUCACCCGGGCCCUCUGAGGGAACUCAGCCAGGCAGUGGUCAGCCACCAGGAUGCCAAGACCUCUGCACUGUCCCCGAGUUGCUUCCGGUGGUUCUCGGCCUGCGCCCGGUUUCACGCACUCACCCUGCACAGGAGGCCUGUUUUGCACAGACCCCUGCACUGGACGCCAUACUGAGCGUCGCGCUCCAUUCACCGCAUACAGCCAGGAUUCUCCACUGACACGGAGACUUCCUCAUCCUCCGAACGGCUGGGCUCCAGCUGUCUGGCGGCAGCGCCCACUAGCCUGCACUCAGGUCGUCUUCAGUUUCUCACACGCUCCUGGAAAUAGAGCCGACCCUUGGGCCCUAGCCCUUAGCCAGUUCCCUCAGCCCUGGUCGAGCAGCUUUGCUUCAUUGACAGUCUCCGUCCAACCCUACAGCAAGGUCCCCUUCGGAAACACUUGUUGGGCUGGGGCUGUGACUCGGUGGCAGAGCUCUUCUUGUCUCGCAUUGAGUUUCAUUCCCAGCACUCUAAAACAAAACCUUGCUGGAGUUAACUACGUUUCAGUCUUUUGACCACGCUGAAACCUGGUUUUAGAAUUUUGAACGGGUAUUACCUUUCCAAAUUUUCCAACUCAUUCUGUAACCAAGGCUCAGUUCUUGCAGGAAAUACAUGGUAUAAAUAAGGUAAUUAAAAUAGUGUUUUAAGUUUCUAAGAGAAGCCGUGGAAUUCCAGGCAAAUACAAGGAAAGGAGGAAGUUGGACGGCCUACCAUUUCUAUUCCAGCUGCAAUGACUCAUUCUUCUAUCUCAAAUGACGAGGUGCUGAGCGGCCACAGACAGGGUUGCCUCCCUGCUCCCGGGCCAGUUACCCACCUGCAGAAGCCAAGUCAGCCCCUUCCGUCUUCCACGAUCUCUGCAAGAUUCAGACUCUUCUCCUUUUUUGAAAUUCUCAUCCUCUGGUUUGGUUUUUGUUCUUUUCCUUCAAGAAGGGCAGCAAAGUAGCAAACAGUUUUGUGUUCUUUCUGAUGUUCCAAGAUUUCUUCUUUUAUCAUUUCCUUGUUUCAAGAUCUUCCUGUAGCCAUUAUUUUAGGGUAGGUCCGCUGCCCAAAACUCCUCUGAGCUGUUUUUCACCUGAGACUAUCUUGAUUUUCCUUUCAGC